rnacentral:rRNA from 1 species
ACGAACGCUGGCGGCGUGCUUAACACAUGCAAGUCGAACGGUGAAGGGGUCUGCUUUUGUGGGCCCUGGAUGAGUGGCGAACGGGUGAGUAACACGUGAGUAACCUGCCCCCUUCUUCUGGAUAACCGCAUGAAAGUGUGGCUAAUACGGGAUAUUCUGGGUCUGUCGCAUGAUGGGUCUGGGAAAGAUUGCGCCUUUGGGUGUUUUUGGUGGGGGAUGGGCUCGCGGCCUAUCAGCUUGUUGGUGGGGUGAUGGCCUACCAAGGCGGUGACGGGUAGCCGGCCUGAGGGGGUGGACGGUCACACUGGGACUGAGACACGGCCCAGACUCCUACGGGAGGCAGCAGUGGGGAAUAUUGCACAAUGGGCGCAAGCCUGAUGCAGCGACGCCGCGUGAGGGAUGGAGGCCUUCGGGUUGUAAACCUCUUUCGCCAGUGAAGCAGGCCUGCUCCUUGUGGGUGGGUUGACGGUAGCUGGAUAAGAAGCGCCGGCUAACUACGUG